UUUCGAGGGACCGAGAACCCCCUUUAUAUCAAGGUUGACCUCGGAUCAGGUAGGAAUACCCGCUGAACUUAA
rnacentral:rRNA from 1 species